rnacentral:rRNA from 1 species
AUGGGAACCCGCAAUCAGCUUUGGUCGAUCGCCAAGAUGUCGGUGACCGGGGGUGUAAUCGGCAUCACCAUUUCCGACCGCUACGUCACCGUGGUGGCCAUAAAGGGCCACUCGAUGCAUCCCACCAUGACGGGCACCGACAGCGCCUUGCGAGGUGACAUCGUGUUAGCGGAGAAGGGCUGCCUCGAUCAGUACAAAUUCUCCCGUGGAGAUGUCAUUUUGUUCAAAUGCCCUAGUAAUCACAAGGAAGUGUUUGUGAAGAGACUGAUUGGCUUACCUGGUGAGUGGAUACAGCUCCCUGCGUCUUCUGAGAUAAUUAAGGUCCCACAGGGGCAUUGCUGGGUUGAAGGGGAUAAUGCUGCUAGAAGCUGGGAUUCAAGAUCAUUUGGCCCAAUCCCUUUAGGCCUAAUAAACGGGAGGGUCACCCACAUCAUCUGGCCGCCGUCGAAGAUGGGCAGAGUGGAGAGAAAAUGGCCCGAAGAUAGAAUCCCGCCGUUUUGA